UCCACUCUUUUUUACGACAAAAUGCCGGGUGCGUGUCCGUGCACUUAAGGCUAACCACGUCGAGAUUCCACAUACGCACAGCCACAGAACAGGGAAAAAAAGGUAAAAACUGGAAAAUUAGAUCCGUAUAUAAAAGGGAGUUUGCGGUGGAGCAGGCACAGAAGUUGUCCCUUAGCCGACAAGUCUACCCCAACACUAUCAAGAUGUUCAAAUUGUUUGCUUUCUUCGCACUUUUGGCCACAGCCCUGUGCGCCCCUAAUCCGGCCCCUGCUCCCAAACCGGGUCUCUACAGCGCUGAAUACCCCCUAAUUAGGACCUACCCCACCACCUACACCUACCCCUACGCGUACAGCAGCAAUUUCGGAUACUACGCCCCUGGAUACUACCCCAACUAUUACUACCAAAGCGCACCCCUGGUGAUCUGAGCGACGACGUCCCCCUGCUUUUCGUUUACUGCGUGCCCAUGUGUGUUUUCGGUCAGUUUUUUAAUUUUUAUUUUCGGGUUAGAAAAAUUACUUCCCUUCGUUUGGGUUGAUGAUUUUUUUUGUGUUCUAAAUGUCCGUAAUAAUAAAUUGAAAUAAAAAUUAAUA